GCCCGGCUAGCUCAGUCGGUAGAGCAUGAGACUCUUAAUCUCAGGGUCGUGGGUUCGAGCCCUUCGUUGGGCG
rfam:Danio rerio chromosome 4, GRCz11 reference primary assembly.